UUUACAUCCUACAUCCAGGCCAAACACAGAAGUCAGCCCCUACAGUCUCUGCAACAGUCAGCCCUAUGAAGGUUUUAGUAAGCUGAAUACUGGGACAACUCUUCAGAACACUUCAUACCAAGUUAAUCUCUGUGUAGGUCCGAUUUCCUUCAAAGAUCAUUUUAAAAAGAUAAAAAGAAACCUCAACCAUUAGAAGGUUUGGGGUAGAGAUUGAGUUCAUCAUUAUUCAACAUCUUUCUGUUGCAGCUGUGCAAAAG
rnacentral:lncRNA from 1 species